rnacentral:rRNA from 1 species
UACGAAGGGGGCUAGCGUUGCUCGGAAUCACUGGGCGUAAAGGGCGCGUAGGUGGCCACCAUAAGGCCGCGGUGAAAGUUCGGGGCUCAACCCCGGAUCGGCCGCGGCGACUGUGGGGCUCGGGUACUGUAGAGGCAGAUGGAAUUCCGGGUGUAGCGGUGGAAGUGCGUAGAGAUCCGGAAGAACACCAGUGGCGAAGGCGGUCUGCUGGGCAGUGGGAUCGGAAGGUCCCUUCAACCGACACUGAGGCGCGACAGCGUGGGGAGCAAACAGG